AGAGUUUGAUCCUGGCUCAGGACGAACGCUGGCGGCGCGCCUAACACAUGCAAGUCGAACGGGGUUGAGAGGAGCUUGCUUUUCUUGACUUAGUGGCGAACGGGUGAGUAACGCGUGAGGAACCUGCCUCAAAGAGGGGGACAACAGUUGGAAACGACUGCUAAUACCGCAUAAGCCCACGGGGCCGCAUGGCCCUGAGGGAAAAGGAGCAAUCCGCUUUGAGAUGGCCUCGCGUCCGAUUAGCUGGUUGGUGAGGUAACGGCCCACCAAGGCGACGAUCGGUAGCCGGACUGAGAGGUUGAACGGCCACAUUGGGACUGAGACACGGCCCAGACUCCUACGGGAGGCAGCAGUGGGGAAUAUUGCACAAUGGGGGAAACCCUGAUGCAGCGACGCCGCGUGGAGGAAGAAGGUCUUCGGAUUGUAAACUCCUGUUGUUGGGGAAAAGAAGGAUGGUACCCAACAAGGAAGUGACGGCUAACUACGUGCCAGCAGCCGCGGUAA
rnacentral:rRNA from 1 species